AUCGCUCGCAUGGAAGACGAGCUUUGAUUUUCUUCGGAAACACGGUUACAUAGUACGUGAUAAGAUUUUAAAGAAAACAUCUCAAAGAUCGCGUAUGAGAUAUAUUCGCGUAUAUUCAAGAAGAAUGUUGAAAAUGACAAAAGCGAAGAACAUGUUUCUCUAAAAAGAAAAAAGAGGCAGAAUAUCAUUUGCAUUAUUAUCAUGCGAAAUUAUUAAUCGAAUUAUCGAUAGUAUGCAUUUAAGGCACACGCAUAUACACCGCCAAUUGCUCUUUCUUUUCGUUCCUGUUUUCUUACGUUCGUUUAAUUGUAAUUUUUUCUGCGUGCAACUUUUUCUAUAUCUUACGUUCUUUCCUAUUCAUAGAGUAGAUUUUCGUAAACACUUUAGGUAAAUAUAGAACUAUGUAUGCUUUGCGCGGAUGUAUGUAUUAGCAGGGCAAUUUUCUGAAUUGGUGGUUUGUCACCUUUGACCCGGUAACCGGGCUUCCUUUGUUUCGACGAUGAAGCGAGAAAAUGCGUAGGCGACAUGCGUCGAAGCCAGUCAGAUUGCGUGGAUCGAAGUAGUAACACAUUUUCUUAUUCCCAAGAUUCGGCUUGCACCGUUUAAAUCCAUCUGGAAGGGAAAUGAAAAUGGAAAUUCACGUAAAUGUUAUAGAAGGGAUAUUAUAAUUGUUUCUUAAAUAAAUAAAUUCCAACUUGCGAAUAAAUACUAACUCCGGAUGAAUCCAGCUUAGACAGCUGGGUAAUCUUAUACGUAAAAAGGAAAAGAUAUGGAGGAUAGGAAAAUUGAGGAAUUGAUAUUCACGUAAAACAAUGGGAAAAUUUGGAAAGCUUCUUGACCCGAAUAUUACACGAUACCGGAAAGUUAUGGCCGGAUAGAUUUCUUUGCGUAUCCCAAAGAUAUUCGAAUCUAUUACUUCAAGUGGUAUUUUCUUUCACUUUGAAAGCAUUUUUCAUUGCUAUGGUCUACCGUUUCUUAUAAAAAGCAUCUUUCCGAAAAAGAUUUGUCCUUUAAACUCUAUUCAAGCUCUAUAGCUUUAAUCUAUCACGUCACUAUCGUGUCACCAUCUAUUCUUCAUCCGCAAUACUCGGGCAUAAAAAAGGACAGAAUGCUUGAUAAAUUGUAUCUCUAAAGACUAGUCCUUUUAAACUCACAAAUUGGCUAUUAAGGGUGGCAAUUACUUUUCAAAUGAAAAACUUCAGACAACGCUCUUCUACUUUAAUGUAAUACUAAAGUAAAAUAAAGCAGUCUUUUUGUUUCCAGUAUUCUGCGCGAGCAGAUAUGUAUUUCGUUAAAACUUGUGCAACUUCUGUCGAGCAGCUUGCCAAUUUCCUUUUAGACGCACCAUCGACUUCUGUUUCCUUUCAAACUUUCGUCAGAAAUUUUUCUUCGUUCGCCUUUUCUGUCGUGCUAUAACGCGUCAGUAAAAUCGCGCAUACCCCGGCGAGAAUGGGGUGCAAAAUGUUGACGAAAUGGUUGAUGGAACGAACGAGAUAUAGAGUUAGCUGCAUGUACGAUUUUAUACGGCUCGGUUAGAGCACGUAGGGGUAUCUCAGUCGAGCAGUUUGAGUUACAGAUGGUACGAGGUCCCGGGCUUGGGAAAUCAAUACCGUCAAAACCUCCCCUGGUCCUGUGUCACAGCUAUCCCUAUUCCUCGUGCCGGCUGUAAAGUCGUAGCGCCGCUCCACGCAGAAUACCUUGCCUUCGAUCACUUUUCUCGAGCAACGGUCGGAUUUUAAAGCGAACAAUCGGGAAUCAGCUCGUUCUUUCUUUUUUCCUUUCCUUAACCUUGCCAGCUUGUUCGACGUACACGCGUAGGUUUCUUUAUACAUCUCUGUUCCUUUGUAUCGGAUUGGUUCGUAAGUUGGUGGGAUUUUGCCCGCGUACGAUUAUCUGAUACAUCGUAAUGGGAAAAUUUAUUCCGGCAAUUUAUACCGGGAAUACGUGAUUUGUAAAAUUUCGUUAAAUUCUUAAUUUCAAUCUUUUUUGGAUCGAUCGUGCUAUAAGAUGCAGGAUGGCUGCAUUCGUUUCAAAUGAAAUAACGCGUCUUUUGUCCGAUAUUCCUGGCUAUUAAAGUCUUUGGUAAUUCGCCAGAAUAACUUCGAUACCGACACGAUCUUCGCUAUUUAGGAAGAAUCAUGAAUAUUUGAAAUGCCGUCGCCUUCAAACGCCGGCUCUUUGAAGAUCGUCUUCGAUCAUUCGGAGAUUCGACUCGUCGAGAAACUGUCACGGAUCUAAAUACCACUCCGUGAGCUUCAAGGCUAUUAAAUUACGUUACCGCCAAUCCGAAUUUACGGCGCGUUAUUGAAUAAGCUGCAGAUGAUACGCGGUAAUCCGGCGCACGAUCGAAGUUUAUAUUUAACACGGGAACAGCGAACGUAUCGAUAGGCAUUAAAUUUAAUAAAUACAUAUCAGUAACAUAGAUAGCAUUUGGUAUUAUGGUGCUCGCCACGGAUCAUCCAGUGUAUCGUCAUUAUCGUUCGCAGUGACACGGUAACCCGUAUGGCCCAGUGUAUCUCGGCUAAAGAUCGAUUUACAUCGAACCGAAUACGUCGAUGGAUUUGCAAUCGCGACUAUUAAAUUUUUAAUGAAACCGAGCGCGCCGGCUACUGUCGUUUAAUUAAACAGGUGGAUCGCGCGAGAAACGACGAGCACCGUGUAGUCUAGCGAGAGAUGUUCGACGAACAAACGCCGCUAACAGAAUCUUCGUGGCUGCCUCGAAAUAUCGAUCUCCAUUAUCUGUCAAUCAACGUCGCCGAUCAGUAAAUGGGAAACACGUUACAUGCGUGCACACGUUGAUUCGUCGCGAUGCUUACAGAGAUUCCCUUGUUCGCUGAUUUUCCUACUCGUUUCCCGAUAAGAUCUAUAUAAUUACCCUUUCUAAGGUAGACAGCGGUUGAACACGAGCGAUAAAAGUAAAAAAUAUCUUUCGCGAAAAAUACCUUUUCUUCCGACCGUGUCCAUAAAUCACGUAGAUCUAAAAUAAAAUAAAUAUUAUCUUACCGCUUUUGAAAUUCUCUCUUGGACUCUUGAAAUUCCCCCUACCGAUAGACCUCUAUUUUUAGAAUUCAUCCCCUAUACGUCGUGUUGCGAAUAAAAUUAUAUGUUUUCCCUUUGAAUUAUUAAUCUCGUACAGUAUUCGUGAUUUCUUGCUAUAAGGCAAUUUGUAAUUCUUGCUAUUUCGUAAAGAAACGAAUAAUUGCAGGUAUUGUUGUCAACCAUCGACUACGACGAUGUACAGUGUUUCUAUUUUUAAUAAAUUAUCGACUAGUCGCGCACCAUCGUCAUAUUUAGAAACGUUUGAGUUUGAUAAGUGCGACGCUAUCGAUUCGAGUAAUUUCUAGAGUAUCGUAAGGCUUGUGUGUAAAAUGAUUAUUUGUAUACUUAUUGGCAAAUAUUUUCUUAUCAUUUAUCUUAAGUAUUCCUACGAAGUAGUCUAACGGAUAUUUUAUCGUUUCUUUUAUCGAAUUGUAAAGUGGAAUUAUGAAGUGGAUCGAUGUUUGCUAUCUUUAAGUCCUUUAGUCCAGACAACAUAAGUGUGAUCGAAGUAUUAUCGAAAUAUUUUUAAGAAUUUGGAAUUAACGUGAAUCGUGUAGAAGAACGUGUAUAACUUUACUCUUGAGUAUUUGCAAUAGAUUAAGUAGAUGUGCGUGAGAUAACGAUCGUAAAUCAUAAUUUUAAUGUGUCAUUUAAACGCUAGAAAUAUGUUCGGUUGUUUAAUAAUAUUCAAUAAAGGCAAAUAAAUUAAGCACGUUGUUAUAUUUAUCGUCGAACGAUUAAUCUGCCAUUAACCAAUUAAGCAUACUCUUUAACAGUACACAUGUUUAUAAUAGAACGAUAUAUAGUGCAAUUCAAUGUUCUAUUCAUGUAAAUUAAUUACUUGCGGUUUUAAUUAAUCAAAUAGAAUCGAUUGUUUCUGUCCUACGUACCGAGCAUCUGGCGUAUAUCGAAUAAAAUGAUAUUCGAAGUGAUUAAUUGAUAUUGCCAUGUACAGUGAGUGUAUUAUAGAAUUUUCAUUUAAAGAUAUAAAAAUAUAAGAGAUAAAUAUAAAAAUACCACCCAUUGUUUCACGUUUAAACGAUUUCUACAUAAUUUUUCUGCUAAUAAUUUCACAACUUUUUAAAAACAGAAACAACGUGAAACGAAAUUAUCGGAUAUUAGGUACAUACCUUUACCGCUUUUAUCGAAUAUCACACCUUAGAACUUAUUUUCAUGAAAUGAACAAACUUCAAACGUAGUCGUCGUUCUUGCCUUGAGAAACUUACGGAUACGUUAGAAGAUCCGUUAGGACGAUAAAAUGAUAAAUGGUAAGGUGUUCCAGAUUUUUCGUAAUCGUGGUAUCGAUAAAUCAGUUUGUCGGAGAUGGAUGAAUUUGAAAGAAAUAUAUAUUAGUCAGCAAGUAUUAAUCGUUCUUACGUAAAAGCAGAUUUAAUGGAAAAAACAAUUUCGUUAAUAUAGCGAUGUGUCUCGAAACGCGAUACGCAAACGGCAUCUAACUGACGUAAAUGGUAUGCAAACUAAAUACGAUACGUUUACGUCCAUCAAUGUUUAUUAGUAUGUUGUUCUUCUAUAUCUGAAUCGAAGCUGCAAUGAAACAUAGAUUUUAAUUAGAAUACAUUUACCAAUAGAUUGAACAGCUUUCACGGAAGAAUAUUGCUAGAUAGAUCAUUAUCGGAUUUAAUAUUCCUCUUUAAUUUCAAUAUCUAUAGCCGUAUCGUUAUUGUAAUCUUAUUGAACGUUGCUAUCGAAACAUUUAUUGUUUAAAACUCGGCAAACCGUUUAAGCUGGUUUAUAAGUCAACGAUGACGGAGAAAAUUAUUUAUUCAUAACUUCUGAUACUUUUCACGUGGAUAGAGACGAGUUAAUCGGUCUUGGUUCAUGGACGAGUAAAAUAACGAUGCUUCAUUACCGAUUAAUUUAUACCAAAAUAUUUUCUCAGGGAUAAUCAGCGAAUUAAAGGAAGUUGUACAAGAUAUUCCUAGCCAUAAUUAAGCCGUUGAAUUAUUCACGGCGAUAUUCAUCGAGCCUUAUCUAUGAUAAAAUUAUUACCGUUAUGAUGGAAUUAAUUUUAUCUCGCUUCGACAAUUUUUUUUCAACCCUUUUGAGUUAAAUGCCUUUCUUUUUUUUUUUUAGCAGUUACCAAUAAUACAAACACAUUUGUCGAGUGGUUUUAUGGAAAGAGACAAAACGUAUUAAAAUAAGACACGAGAAGAUAUUUGAACUUUGAAGGUUUGGUCCUUUUCGAGUCAUCUCGCGUUUGCAUGUAACUAAAAACUAAUUUUUGUAGGGUAAAAUAAUUUUCGAUUUUACGUCGGAAAUCGACCACCUGUGUCCCAUCGACGUUUUGUUAUUUUCCAAUACGACUGUGUUCUGCGCUACGUGUUUCAGGGAUGAGGAAGACGAUAGUAAAGUUGUAGAGUACAACGACUCGAGGAAAAUGUAACGACUCUGUGAGAAGUUCGUAUUGUCUGGACGAGUACCUCUAUGGUUUCCUCGUGGAAGGAAAUACGUAGAAAGAUACGACCCAUCGUAAAAGGUAAAUGAAUUUAAGCAUGAAAAAUAUAAAUUUCAAGCAUCUCGAUGGCGCUGCAAACUUUCCUACACACACGUUGCUCUAAAUUAAAAGAAAAUUAUAAGGAACGACCGGAAAAGACGAAUCGCGUCUACUUGCUAUUCUUUCGUUUUACCAAUAUCUUGAACUUGAGGUGAUUUAUUUAUUCAGCGAUUCAUCAUUUUCAUUCGAUUUUUAUAUCGGUGUUACGCGCAAGUACGUCGCGUUAUAUUACGUUCGUAAGAAGUAAAACUGAUAAAUGAGAAUUGAAUUAUUAUUAAAUUUCAAGUUGGUUAUUUUCGCUUGGAAAUUUACUUGUACAAUGAUGUAAUUAUAAAAUGCAAAGUUGGCAGUUUUUUCUUUGAAGGUAAAUGAAAUAUAAUUUCAAGCGAGAAUACCGGUAUUUUUUCCUUUGGGAAAGUGUAAUUUUAUCUCGCUUAAUCCAGACUUCCUCGAAGUUCAAUCUCCUGCCCUAAUUUACUUUGCCGGCGCUUAUGCUUUUCUUUAGCGGCGUAAUCCUUGUUUUCGUGACGUUCCACGAUAUAACUUUAGUAAUGGAGGGCAAUUUAGAAUAGCCGACGAUUGUUUUCGCAAGUAUUUCAACGAUAUUCGAUUCCUUUUUAUUUAUUAGGCGAUUUAUUUAUUACGUUUUUUUUUUUUUACGGGGAAACCAAUUUCUUUGGCAAACUCAUUACGAGCUUCCACGGCGCUGACCUAAUUUUUCCUUUACAAUAAUUCUGCGGUGUUUCCUCGAGAAAUUAAUAUUUUUUCAGAGAUCAUUGCAAAUUUGAUCUUUUACAUUAUUUCCGAUUAUUUUGCAAUUUUUAGAUAUUCGCGUUAUAUCCGCGAGUGUGAUAAAAAUUUGCUUUAGUUUAUAACAAGAAGGAGAAAGACGAGAAAAGCCGUUAAUGCUUCAAGGCCAUUGUUAUAGUUUAAGAGUAGAAUAUAAAGAUUCUCUGAUCUUUCAACAUCCGCUGUAUAAUUUACAAAGUGGGGAAAAGAAGGCGCAAGGUACUAGAUUCCCCAGAUAUUUCCAUAUGACCGGAGAACAGAAGAAAGAGAGUCGAAGGGGAUAAGAUUCAAUUUACGUCAACUGUCUUUUGCGUUGAAAAUGUAAGUUCGGUUCGCUUGGCUCGUGCGAAUAUAUUUAUCUCGCCCUCGUGUGCGUGUGCGCUUGAAAUGUCACGCAAGUGCAUCCGAUGUGUACGCACAAGAAUUUGCUCGAUGAUAAAGAGGGGCUCGAGAACCUUCGAGCUUCGAGAAACGAAGGUUAAUGUUAAGGAUAGUAGAUUGCAGCGAGUAUAACAUUGCGAAAUGGAUACGGCGUAUCCACCUCGAGCGUAACAUUCGUUUCUCGAAAACGCUUUUUCGAAAUUUACACUCGUGUAAAAGAAAUCACGUAAAAUAUAUUAAUAAACCAAGUUUCCAGUUAUCGACAUUCUGUAUUUGAGAGACACACACACGUGUGCGACUAUGCGUUCGAAGAGUUAAAUAACCACGAUUUCGCGAAUAGCGUAGAAGCCUAUAAAUGCAAUUAAUCUGAUUUUAACAAGCUUCGACGAGACGAAUCACGAGCCUACUUUUUUCAAACGUCGUCGAUCGUCCGAUUUCUAUAAUUCCUCUUAUUUUUCUUCUUCGUGGCGCGAUCAAAGAGACAACCGAUUUAGUUGGAUCCACGCGCCAUUCGUAAUACGGCGAAGGAAAUCGUAUGAGAGAGAAAGAGAGAGAGAGAGAGAGAGAGAGAACCGUCAUUACGAGAAAUCGUCGGAGGAAAUGAAAUUAGAUACCAUGAAGGCCGUUGUUCACCAUUUGUCCGUACUCUGCAGCGUUCAAUGUUAAUGUCUAUCCUUUGCCAGAACAUAUAUGUACACAUGUACGCCGCUGUAUAAGUAUUUAUUGGGCAAGUCUAGUCUAUUCGUUUGGAGUCUGUUUUCUUAAAACCCUCUCUCCGUGACAGCGACACGAUGGCGCUUCGUCAUGGGACAAAUUGAAAUUAAUUGGUAACUUAAAAUAAAGUUAGCAGUAUAGAGCUAGUGUACGUUCGUCGUUGGUUCAAGCUUCUUCGGACAAAUGAAAUUUCGUACAAUGAAAGCUAUUAGGUACGACAUAUAACGCGAAUGAUACUGGCAAUAUACGUGCGUUCGCUUUAUAACUUAUACCAGUUCAGUGGAAUUAUUUUGUAGAACUUUAUUUACACCAGUUUCAUCUAUCGCAACGAAAGUUUAGUUUUGUACCAUUUAGCGUUAUCAGGCCGCAGAUGGCCAUUGAUAGAAAUUGUUAAAACGAGAAUCAUCAUGUACGUACUACCUGAAGAUCGGUAUAUUUGGAAAAUAGGCGUUUCCAUAAUUUACAAGUCAAGCGGUGAUUAAUCGCGCAUCAACUAAACGGGGAAAACCCGAAUUUCAUUUUCUCAUUUCUUCCUUUCAAAAACUUCCGCCUGCUGUUAUAUCAAACGAGCUAAUAAACAGACGAAACAGAAGCUGCCUGAGUAACAUCAUUUUCGCAUCUCCAAAUUCCUCCUGACUAUUUACGCAAAUUGAAAUUAUCUCAACGACGAUGAUUAUGAUUACAGGAAUAAUGAGGAAACAACGAAUUGCUGGCCGAUUUACGGUCUGUAUGUCGUACAGUUUCUAUAUUCUGUAUGUAUUCGAUAUUCUAAAUAUUCCUCGAUAUUUCUCAAGAGUAAAGAAAAUCGAUAAUUCAGUAUGACAAGUUGCGAAAUUACCUUUUGCGCGAAGAAAGGAAAUAUUUCUGCGAAUAUUUCUUUGCAACAAGUCGUAUUAUAAGAAUAUACGCAAUACGUAACGUCAGAGGAUUUAUAAUAUUGCUUUUAAUUCUUCAGAAGGAGUAAGGUGUUCGCUUACGAUCUUGUUUUUCUCGGUAAAUAUAUAUUCUUUUGCGCGACGACAUAAAGAGGAAAGACCUUUCCAUUCGAACGAUAGCGGGCAAACAGAAUUUCUUAUAAGAAUAGCCUGGAGAAUGUCGUCCUCGUAAAACAACAGGGAGAUAUCAUUCUCGAUUCGCAUUAUCGGGAAAAGAGCAAGCAGCCAUGAUCGUAGCGGAAUUUUAUGAUCGUUCGUAUUUUACCCAGGAAAUGUCACGGCAAUAAUUCUGCGUGGGAAAAUGUAUAAAUUACCCCGUUGCGCCGUAAACGCUUCUUGAUAACGCGAUGAUUCCAUUUAAGCCUCUUUAUCUCAUAACGCGUUAUACCGAUUAAUCUGUCGUUUACAGAUUUCGAGUGUAAAUACCGCGUCAGAUACGACAUAAAUCAGAAAAGAAGCGAACAGCGAGACUAACCCUAACGGUAUUCCGGAUAAAAAGCAUUCGUAAGCUGUCGCUUAAGGAGUCAAACCCUUGGAAUACGCGUGUCCGCGGAUAUUACCACUCCCACGUGAUGAGUAGCAACUAUGGCGUGAGAACAAGAAUACUCCGGGAUAGCGGUACUCGUUGAUGGUGUUACGUCGUGUCAAAGGAAAAUGAAACUCGCUCUUGUGCUCCUCCGUUCGCGUAGCCUCUUUCAGACCGCUCGGAAAUCCUCUGCAUUCCGCGAGACCGUCAAUGGCCAUACGCCGUGUGCUAUCACGAUACAGCAACGAGAAACGAGAAGCUAUCGUGACAAGCGUUCGGCAAGAUGAAAGAAGCACGCGGAAGGUCAAGCUCGUUAAUCGCCAUUUCUCGUAAAUACGUGACUUUGUUGACUGGAUGUUUCGGUCGUGGCUAUUGAAACGGUAUAAGGACGAAGAAGAACGUAAGACGAACGUACAUGGUAGGUACGGUGGGUCGAUAAUACUAUCGUAAAUUUGGAAACUUUUUGGUUAAAUAUUUUGCUAAUCUAAAAAAUUUCCAUCCGAUCUUACCGCUAUAAAAGUUUCGUAAUUUGCCGAACAUCGUUACUGAACAGAUGCCGACGUUAAACGUUAAACGCUUUGUGGAAAUGGCAAGUUUGAAGGGGGCAAGGAAAUUGUUUUAAAAGCUACUUAUCUCUGAUAAGCUUUUCAGGUAUUCUGGGUCAGGGACGGUGAAUCGAGUAAGCAGACGCUUAUUUCGACAAACGUAUUCAACAGCCUUACCUUCUGUUCGAUAGGAAUGCAAAGCGAGCUUCAAAAUGAACCGUCCCAGCAUCAAAGUGAAUCUACCGUACUGAAUAAUUUGCAACUUCCAGAGAAGAAGUUCGAGAUCUUACGAUCGCUGUUUCAGUGACAGCUAAGAGGAAUGCUUUUCCACGGAGGAAGAUGUUUCUUCUUGGCGGAAGAAAGCGGAAGUUGGCCAUGGAUGGAAUUUACGAAUUAAUUUCGAUGUAAUACCAACGCUAUCGAUUCCGUUUCGCUACAGACACCUACGUUUGGCAACGAGAACGGCCACGUUCAAAGAAAAAAUUCGCAGGGAAGUACGAAGGACGUCGGGAUUAAGCAAACUCGGCUUUGUUACCGGAGACAAUGGACGGUUCGCUUCUCGCGAUACAUUAAAAAACGAUCUGCCGAUGGCGCUUUUAUAUCUGGCGCGUUCGCUUUAACACCGCGUUAACCCGGCUAAUAGGUAGUCGCUUGCAUUUCGGUGCUCUUCGGCUCGUCCUAUCUCGCCAAAGUCCAAUUUGGUCCUGAUAACUAAACUGUGCUCGCGUUCCGCCAAUACGCAGCGAGACGGAAAUCGUAUUUCGAUCGAACCGCCGGUCUAGGCUGCCCGUUGGGAAGAAGGCAAAGCCGGGGUAAAGAGAAAGAGAGAGAGGGAGAGAGAGAGAAAGCUAUAAAAGAAAAAGAAAGAACGAGAAAGUGAUCGAAGAGGACUCUAUAAAAAUGGCCCGGCGAACGCCAUCGAGCUAGUGGAAAUCCAUAGGUAGAUAUUCUACCCCUUCGAUAUGGCACACACAACUUGGACAGACACAAUCGCCUUCCAACUAUCGGUGUGUGUACGUGUUUUACGAUGGAACAGGAGGCGGUGCACGCGCGCACACGUUCACGCGCAAAAACGUGUACACACAGAAUCGCCGCACCCUUUGUGCUAAAAUUAGAAGUGACGAAGCGUAUACAUACUCACUUCGCUGGCUUCGAGCUUUUAUUCACUGGCGUUUAGACAUAACGUGUUGCAGGGCUUUCAAUGGCAUCGACGGAGGUGAUCAAACCGCUAGUUAGAAGAAGAGAGUGGUAUUCGUGCAUGGGGAUUUCGAGAUGACAGAGAGAAAGAGAGAGACGAAGGAACACAUAGUUAGAUCGAAUCGAUGAUAUGGAAAGGGGUAGAGGAUAGAUGGUGAUAAAAGCAAAAAGAGGGAGGAGAUAGUUUCAUAGGGAUACGGAGGAUCUUUGAUGGGGAGGGAUGCAAGCGAUAAUGGCGGAUAGAUAAACCGGGUUAAGGGGAAAAGGAUGGACGAGAAACGCGAAAGCAAAUACGCCCCGGUCUAAUCUCUGGGAAACGUUCGAGUGGGCGGAAAUUUGCGUUUACGCGCGUGCAGGUGGAUAGAGAGAGGUAGGACGAAAUUUUUCGCACACGAGAAUCGCGUAAACAUUAUCGGCGAAUAGAAAUUUAAAUUGCAACGUUAUAUCGCGAUAAACUUCCAUAAAUAACGAUAAAUUUGAAGGUUCGAAACGCGCACGGGUAUACAAAAAUUCGUUUUCUCUGGCAAUCCAGUGUGAAACGAGCUCGGCUUUGACUUUGUUCCAACGAGUUGCGCGUUAUGCUUCCUCGAUGGCUGAUAAAGGGUGGCUGAUAGAAAAUUGCAAGAUUUUGCGCCUGACGUUCAGCUGUUCGUGUUCGCGGUUCAACGAGAAAUUGCAUUGGGAAUUUCGCCUGAGAAGGAAAUUUCAGAUACAACGUGCAACGUGAAUCCUUGCAGUCUACCCCAUUUCCUUUUCUUCCAUCCACAAUUUCUGUAUCGUGUCGUUCCUCGCGUUCGUACGAAGCUGCAUCACUGGAUGAAUUUCAACGCGUUUGGACGUUAUCCAUUUAUCUUCUUCGUCUUAUAAUGGAUUUGACGGAACAUCUUUCCUUCCAUGAGAGUCAAUGUAUUUAGAAUUUGUAUUCAGGCGGCAUUCGUUUCAGCAAGGCGUAAGAAAGAAAACGCGCGUUGCUUUUAGCAUUUAGUAUUUGCAGAAGUCGUAAGAAAAUUUGAUCGCGUUGCGUUUAUCAUACGUCGCUCGAUAAUUUCGUUAGAAUUAUCCGGACUAUUUUGCCCGAUAAUUUACUAGCUAAUAACAUUGGCGAAUUGACAAGCGACGAGCCGUAGAUUAUGGAUGACCGUUGCGUAAGCAGCUUUUACAAUUUUACAAUUUGACACGGAACAGGAAAAUCAGUUAUCCGAUAAUUUAUAAAAUUCGCUUCUAGAACUUGCCUUAUUACCCGAACGUACGUUACGUAAGAGAAUAAUUAUUGUUACCUAAGAGAAUUUACUAGCAAUGAUUCGUCAAAUUUCGCUAAUAACAUUAGCUUAAAAAUAGAAACGUUUACAUUCCGAAGAACAUACAUCUUUGCCGAUCGAUUAUCGAUUAAAAUGGAAAUUCCUUCCGUUCUGAUACACUCGAUCGUUGCAACCGUUUUCCUUUUUUUUUUUUUACGUAAUUUCUUCUUUAAACGGCUCGCGUACUUUAUUGCCACGUACAUCGUGGAAAGAAUUACGCGAUAUCCGAAAGAACUGUGUAAUUUUCUAUUUUUAUCGAUUUUCCUUGGUACACAAAGUAACAAAUCUAUGUAACCUACUUUACUUGUUCGCGGCCAUUAAUGCACUGACAUUUACCAGCGUACAAUCAAGAUAAUCCGAUAUUUAAUGAAACUUUCUUUCGAUAUUCUACGUAUCGUCGGUUCGUUGGAACAACGACACAACCAACGAAACUAGAUCGUUUAGCAGAUCGCUUUCAAAUACUUUGCGAUAGAAAAUUAUUCUACAAUUAUAUUUCCACGAUUGUGGAUUUGUUUGAAGUGCAGAAAUAGCCUGGUGGAUUACAGCCGAAUUGUUCGAAUGAUUAACGAAGCAAUUGAAACCGGUGUUUAAACGGUAAUCAAGAACGAAGCGGAGAAUUUCUUCGAAAUUUAACUGGUUAUAACCGGGCGACACGAAGUUAACAAUUCGCAGUGCCUACCCGCUCUCGUUAAUUAUUCCGCGUUUCUACAUUCGUCUUACUAAUUAGUAAUUAGCCUCUCUUGCCAAGGAUUUUCGCGUUGAUGGAAUCUGUCGCGCUUACCGGAAAACUUGCACGUGUCUUUCCAAUUAACAUUAUCUGUCGCAUCUGGAAACAAUCGCGCCGCUUAUGUCCAUAUUCGUUUUAAAUUUCCCAACGGUGGACGACACAAUUUCCAGCAGACGUUCGAGCGACGAAUCGGGAACGAAGGAAAUUUUUAAGGUAAGAAAGGGGAUGAUGGCAUACGUAAAAAUAGAAGAACGAGCGCUGCUAUCGAUUGCACGUUUAUGGACGCUAUUAUCGUCGAAUUUAUUAUUUAUAACGAUGGUUCGCUUCUUAUCAGAAACGCUCGUGCUCUCUCCAUCUUCGAUUUUACGCUCCGCAAACGAUUGUUUAUCGUGUUUGUAAUUUAUCUUCUUGCAAGUUUAUUAGGCUUUUUGAAAUAUUUAGAAAAUACCUGUUUACUUUACCAUUUUCGAUGAAGUCGAUCAGAGCGAACUGGUAGCACCGGAGCCGCUCAUAAUUUCCUAAAUAUAUAAUUUUGUUUUUCGAUAUAAAACGUAGAAACUAUUAUUGCGCUCUUCCAUUUCUUCGUAGAACGUGAAAAAUAUACUUCCCUCGUAAAUAUCCCAUUUUUACGGAUCUUUUGCCAAUUGUAAAAACACACGGCGGUUCUUUUUGUCAUAACGCGUAACCGUAAUCGAAGCAAGUGUUUCGCCAAUUUUUUGUAAAUCGAACGUAGUUGCGAAAGAGUAUCGGGAUUAACGUAUUGAAUCUGCUCAUCGACGUGAAAGACGAAAAUUUCGUCGUUAGUAUGCGUACGCGUUCGUAGGCGAUGCAAUUACCCGCAUACUGGCUGAUUCAAAAAUAUUGCGUGCGUGAAUAGCUUUGUAUAGGGAGAAAUGCCUGUAAUUAACGAUCAUCGUCCCAGGAAGUUAUCAAUGGGGCAAAUUUGACGCUGUAAUCGAUUAUUUGUAAGUAAAAUUUUCCUGGUAAACCGAAAUCCAUCGGAAAACAAGUAUUCGCAUCCUAUAGAACGAUUGCAAUUUUUCUACUUUAAUUUAUAAUUUAAGGACAAAUAAUAUUUUUUAUAUAUAUACAUUUAUUGGAAAGCAAAAUUUCAGCAAACUUUGCUGUAUUUUGUAUUUCACGUUACGAGGUACGUACGAUCCGAUUGGUCGAAACCCGCUGCUUGGAAAAUAGAUGUCUUCGUGAAAAGAUUUCUAGAUACGUGAAAAAUUAUUUUAUUAUUUUCGUCGAUGUUGCUUUGCUUCUGUCUAUGUAACAUAUAAAUUAUUACGCGAUUCGUAUCAUAUCACAAUUCAUAUCAUACGUGUACAUCGUAGAAAGUAGAAUAUGGCAGGGACGAUAAUUAUAUUUCAAUCUUAUCCCACUGAAUGCCGCCUGGUUUAACGUUACCGUUUUGAUAUAAAUAAAAUUACAUUCAUUAGCGCAACAGUAACGAUAUCAGUUUCCAAAUUUGAAAAGCCCGCCAGAAAACCUGCGUUUCGCGUUAUCCAUAUAGCGACAGUUGCCGUAUCGCGGCAGUUAUGAAACGAGAAUAAAAAGAAGUAUUUAUUUUAACGCAGAGGAGAUUUCAUUUGUUCGAAGGUUGAGUUUAAAAUUCGGAUUUAAACGAUAACAUCCAUUAACUAUGCCUAAGAAUUUUUAUCUUUCGAUUUUACUCUUGUUACGAUAAACAAAAGUAUUCUUCGAAAUAUUUUACAGCAACGCUUCAAGAUCCGCACUUAACGCUUUCGUUUUUCAAGUAAAACGAUGGAAACGCGGUAUUGUUAGAACAGGCAAAGGGUAAAUAAGUUUAUGUUGAAGCAAUAAGAAUGGAGAAAAAUGAAUAGCAUAAAAUGAACUUAGUUAUGCACUCUUGGAAAUAAACGUCGCUCCGAUAUGCAAUAUAUGUGAUAGGAAGAUCAUCACUGGCCAUUUCAACCUAUAUUUUCGAUAUUUAAGAUACGCGAUUGAACAACGCGUGUACAUAUUUUCAAAUUUCGCUGCUACGCGUAUGCUUAGAUCGCUCUGUUGUUAGUUGGUACGUGUACCUACGGUAGGUCGCGCUGCAGCAUAGCGCAAGUUGGCGAAUUCGUUGGUACAUACGUAGGUUGCGUCCGGAGAAUAUUUCAACAGAGUCAUAUAUGUGCGUACAUAGUUGCAAAGAAUAUAGAAACGUUUGUCGUAUUAUCGUAUCUUUAUAUUUUGUACGAUUACGCGGAUGAUAUAACGCUUCGCCGAGUCAAUAAUCGUAUAAUCCUAAAGUUAAUUUCUUUCGCUUUGUAUCUUCUUAUAACUUUAUCGUUAACCUAUUUAUCGAAUUAUGUCAAUUUUUAUUCACGUUUAUCAAAUAGAUAAUUAUCGAUGUUUUAGGUGUGAAUAAUUUAGAUGUAAUUUUAGCAGUAGUUUUUAUCGAUUUUGUCUACGUGUUAACGUGCGCCGAUAAAACCUAGUCUUAGUUCAACGGCUUGUUACAAGAUGGCAGUAUCGAAUUUGCUCGACCGUGCGAUAUUGAUUUUUAAUACUUUGAUUUUAACGCUGAAAGAGACGGCGUAAGAACGACAAAUGUAAAUUGCAUUCGUAUUCUAGUUGUAAGAAUGCGUUAUUACGGUUAAUACACCUAAAUACUUGUCCUUAAUUUUCAAGUCAUUCAAUAAACUUUGCCGUCACGUUAUUUAACGAUAUUAAAGCAAAGCACACGGUGAAACGUCGGGAUUGGAAUUUCAUUUCGGUAGGUUGAGGUGGUUCAGGCGUUGAGAUCAAAGAAUGAAUUCGAUCGAUCGAACUUCAAUAAGACAUUUUAUUUCUCUCGUUUAACACAACUGUGUGACGCACGUGUUGUUGUUCCUGCUGUUAUUGUUGUUGUCGUUUUUUAUGUACAGAAAAAUCAGCUCGAUAUACAAAGGAUGUCUGCGACGCGACACGGUGAAAAUAAAAUCGUAGAAAAACGUUACACGCUACACGAUUCGGAGGAAUUGCGAGGACGUGGUGUGUGUCGU